GGGGGAAAGGGACGUGGGAUAAGGAGCAGCUGCAGUAAUCAGCCACCCUACUCUACAGCUACAACUACAUCCCAUCCCCAUCUCUGCUACAGAAAUCAGCCGCCCCACUUCACCAAUCUGUUAGUCAAAGGUUCUACAAUUUUUUCAAGUUUGGCAGCAACUCUUUCCAUUUUUGCUGCUUGCAGCAACAUUCCCUUUUGUCAACAUUUGCAGCUACAACCACGCCCUAUCAGCCACUCUACUGUUGUACUGCUCAAUGAUCACACAACCCCUACUUUAGUCUCACAUUUCUGCUCCCAACACUUCACACUUCUCCUCCAUCUUGCACCAGCGAAUGCAAAGAGCAAAGGGGACUUGUUUGAAUAUUCUGCCAAGACUUCAAGUUCAGUUGAUCCAUCCAACACUGAAGAAGGGUGAAGGAACCCUCAUUCAUUACUCUGACUCAACCAGAAAAAAACUUCAAGAGAUAUUCCACAACACGUUCAAUUCCAACAACAACCCAAUUGUUUGAAAGCAUUCAAGGUCAAGGUCGGGAAUAACAGUCAAUCAAGGAACCACUGAAUCACAGAGAUUUCAUAUCAGGU